rnacentral:rRNA from 1 species
CGCCUUGCCAGCCCGCUCAGAAACUUAAGGAAUUGACGGGGCCCGCACAAGCGGAGGAGCAUGUGGUUUAAUUCGAUGAUACGCGAGGAACCUUACCUGGGCUCGAACGUAAGAUGACUGUAGGUGGAAGCUUACAUCUCUUCGGAGCAUUUUACGAGGUGCUGCAUGGUUGUCGUCAGCUCGUGCCGUGAGGUGUCGGGUUAAGUCCCAUAACGAGCGCAACCCCUACCUUUAGUUGCCAUCAGGUUAAGCUGGGGACUCUAAAGGAACUGCCUACGCAAGUAGUGAGGAAGGCGGGGAUGACGUCAAAUCAGCACGGCCCUUACGUCCAGGGCUACACACGUGCUACAAUGGCCGAUACAGAGGGCAGCUACCUGGUGACAGGAUGCAAAUCUCCAAAGUCGGUCUCAGUUCGGAUCGGAGUCUGCAACCCGACUCCGUGAAGUUGGAUUCGCUAGUAAUCGCGCAUCAGCCAUGGCGCGGUGAAUACGUUCCCGGGCCUU